CUUUCAAUUUUCUGAACUUUUAUAUUGGUUUUGGCCUAUUCUCAAAUGAAUCCUAUAUUUUUGUGGGUUCUUAUGAACAUGUGAUUCGUUGUGUCUGUCAUUUUCCUUUGUGCUUUAUUCAUUGUUAGGCCUUUCCAGCAACAUUAUAAUUAGCUGAGACUUUGAUAAACCCUUUCUAAUCUUUGGUGGUUGUAAGGUAUAAAAUAUUGGUUUAAGGAUAAUGAGCCAUGAUCGGCAGAUAUAUAUUGCACGAACAACAAAAAUGUUCGGCUUUUAACUUUUUCUGAGGAGGAUAAUGAUGAUGGAGGCUAUUUAUAUCCUGUCCUUGUUCGGCUAGUACUUCUGCAUAUAUACCUUGUUUCAUUGUGCCUUGCUUUCACAAAGAGUUGGUCACAAGGAGAUAGCUAGUACCUUAAAAUGGAGGUAACCAAUAGGUACAUCACCAUAAAGACUCAGGUAGAUGGAGAGCCCAAAGAGUCAGAUUUCGAGCUCAAAACCUCAGCCCUUUCGUUGUCACUUGAUCCCGGUUCUAAUGACAUCAUCGUGAAGAAUCUGUAUGUGUCAAUCGACCCUUACUAGCUAAACCGCAUGAAAAGUCAGAGUUCAUCCCAGAAAGCUAUUGGUUUUGCUUCUGCCGUCAGUCCCGGUGAAGAUAUUGAUGCUUACGGUGUUGCAAAAGUUGUGGCUUCUGGGAACCCUGAGUUUGAGAAGGAUGACUUGGUUGUGGGUCUCAUCACUUGGGGAGAGUACAGUUUGCUAAAAGGAGGAAAAUACAUGUUGAGGAAAUUUGAUCCUAUGGGAUUCCCACUGUCUUACCAAGUUGGUGUUGUAGGUUUUAGUGGACUUACAGCAUAUAGUGGAUUUUUCGAAGUAUGCAAACCGAAGAAGGGGGAAAAAGUUUUCGUCUCUGCAGCUUCUGGAUCGAUUGGGAAUUUGGUCGGACAAUAUGCAAAGCUUUUCGGUUGCUAUGUUGUGGGAUGUGCAGGAAGCAAAGAAAAGGUAGCAUUGCUUAAGGAAAAGCUUGGAUUUGAUGAUGCAUUCAACUACAAGGAAGAGCCUGAUUUGAAGUCAGCUCUCUUUAGGUACUUCCCUGAUGGGAUUGACAUCUACUUUGACAAUGUGGGGGCUGAAAUGCUAGAGGCUGCGGUUGUUAACAUGAACAGCUUUGGUAGGGUUGCUGUCUGCGGCGUGAUCUCCGAGUACACUGAUGCUUCAAAGCGAGCUGCACCGAAUAUGCUAGAUGUCGUGUACAAGAGAAUCAAAAUCCAAGGGUUUCUAGCAGCCGAUCAUAUGAGUGUGUUUCAAGAUUUCCUUUCCACCACAACUGAUCAUCUUCGUACAGGGAAAUUGCAUGCACUUGAAGACAUCUCAGAUGGUGUGGAGAGUUUUCCUUCCGCUUUCAUUGCACUUUUUCGUGGUCACAACACUGGAAAGAAAAUGGUUAAAGUUGCAGAAGAAUGA